UUUUUUUUUCCCCAGCGCUGCAACUGAGGAGUUUCUGCGCACAAAAAGCUACUUUACUGCGCAGAAACUUGCCAGUGUAGACAGGCCCUGAACCACUGGCAGAAAGACUCAGUUGCCUAGCAUUUCUUGCAUCACUGAAAUGAACAUUGCAAAAAAAAGUUCUAAUAAAAUUUCUUGCUUUUAAUUUCUCCACCACAGAGAUGCCCUGCAGGUAUUGUAAAUACAGAUGGAUUUUUUUCCGCACUAGUUAGGAUUCCGAAGUAGCUGUGAUCCAUUGUACAGGAGUACACUUUGAAAAUCUUCUAAAAAGUUUUGGAAUCUGUAUCUCUUGUAGCUAAACAUUGCAGUGGCAGUCCCAUGAUCUAAUAUAAUUAGGGGUUGUUUUGAAGCAGUGGUAGCUGUCCCAAGGGCACAUGAACAAAAAGGAUUUGGUUGGGGGAAAAGAAUCUCCCCCAUCUGGACAGGUUGUGAGUUCCACUGUUAAAAUAACAAUAUUUUAGACCCUGUUUCAAACUGGAUUUAAUUGGCAUUAAACUCCCAUUAAAAUAUAGACGUAAAGUCUGAGAGUUCUUUUAAUUUGCUUGAUUAGCAACGUUUCCACAAACAUAGCUAAACAUACAUUGUAAUUGUGUUUUCAUGAAAAUGGCACUUACUACAAUCACUGCAACUGUCAAAACAUGCACUAGAUUCAUCCUGAUGUAAGUGCUCUUCAGUGGAGUCAGGUGGAGAUUGGCUCAAUGACUGUUGAUUAUGCAGACCAGUGGGGAAAACACAUAAGCUACACAGUCAUGAAGCUAACAAAUUUGUAUCAUAGGUACUAAAAUGCAGCUUACUAAAAAAGUCUACGUGGUUUAUGAAGCAUUCUCUCACAUCAUAUUUUUAAAAAACCUUGUAUACUCAGCAGCCCAAUAAUAAGUUACUGUGGGGCAUACUCACAGGAGUGCACUUGCAGGAUCUUGAAUCCUCCAGCGAGCAUGGUUACAAAAUGGAAAAACUCUAGAAAUAAUGGUGAAAACAUUCCUCUGGCAGUUAUACUGAAUAUGCAUUUAAAAGUAGAGGCUGACAAUAUAAAUAUGCAGGGGUACAUUUUGGCCAUGCACAUACCUGUGCUAAGCUACUGCAUCGAGACACAUUGUCUCAAACUAAUAAGAGCAAUGUCUUCAGAAACUUCUUACCAUACAGACUCUAAUGUAAGAGUACAGAAUUGUGAAAUUUAUUAGGGUAAAAUUUGUGCCUCUCAAGACAAUGCAUGGCAGUUUCUACUGCAUGUUGGGUUUUGCCCUUUUAUGUGCAUCCUGUAGCAGCAGACAGUCCCAGAUAUGUGCCAGCAGCUAGCAUUGACCCAACCAUAUCAUACUGUAAUACCUGAGUGUAAUAGACUUCAAUUUAGUGUUUAGUGUGUCAAGCCAUUGAAGUUUGUCAAUAUAGAGAUUAUGUACAAUAUAACUAUAUUUUUAAGACUGGGUCUCCUAAGCAUUGUAACAGUGAAAUCCUCAUUGGCAACUUUCCCUGAACUAGAGGGACAAUUUGAUUCUUGGUUUCUUUAUCAAAAGCAAAUGCAACUUCUUCUGUGAUUUACAUUGAUUACUGCUUGUUUGAAUUCACCAGGAAUAAAACCCUACACUUCAUUAUAUUUUUUGUUAGUUUGUAGCUAGAUGGAAGAGGCAGCCAGCCACAUUGCUUUUAGAGCUCGGGCUUUUGCUACCCUCUUGAUCUUAAAAAAAAAAAAAAAAAC